rnacentral:rRNA from 1 species
AUUGAACGCUGGCGGCAGGCCUAACACAUGCAAGUCGAACGAGUGGCGGACGGGUGAGACACGUCGGGGAAACUGCCUGCUGGAGGGGGAUAACUACGGGAAACGGUAGCUAAUACCGCAUACCAUCAGAUGUGCCCAGAUGGGAUUAGCUAGUGGGUGGGGUAACGGCUCACCUAGGUGACGAGCCCUAGCUGGUCAGAGAGGAUGACCGGCCACACUGGAACUGAGACACGGUCCAGACUCCUACGGUAGGCAGCAGUGGGGAAUAUUGCACAAUGGGCGCAAGCCUGAUGCAGCCAUGCCGCGUGUGUGAAGAAGGCCUUCGGGUUGUAAAGCACUUUCAGCGGGGAGGCGUUACCCGCAGAAGAAGCACCGGCUAACUCCGUGCCAGCAGCCGCGGUAAUAC